CCCGAACUCCAGGCUGAAAUCCUGAAGAACUCACUGAAACCCUGCGCACACUUUUUUCUUUCUUUUCUUUCUUUUUCUCUCGAAAGGAUAUAGACCUUCACCUUGCACACAAGGAUUCCUCACACCCAGAUUUUCUCUCCAAAAAUUUUCUUUCACACACCCCACUCUUCUCCUCCUUUUAAAAUAACAACCAAGGUCUUAUCCACGUGAGAGGAUAAAGAUGAGUAAUUGUACAUUUGAAUUCAAAUCAAAUUUUGAAUUCAAAUGGAAAUCAAUUUAUCCC
rnacentral:lncRNA from 1 species